UGAACGCUGGCGGCGUGCCUAAUACAUGCAAGUCGAACGAGUUCUGAUUAUUGAAAGGUGCUUGCAUCUUGAUUUAAUUUUGAACGAGUGGCGGACGGGUGAGUAGCACGUGGGUAACCUGCCCUUAAGUGGGGGAUAACAUUUGGAAACAGAUGCUAAUACCGCAUAAAUCCAAAAACCGCAUGGUUCUUGGCUGAAAGAUGGCGUAAGCUAUCGCUUUUGGAUGGACCCGCGGCGUAUUAGCUAGUUGGUGAGGUAACGGCUCACCAAGGCAAUGAUACGUAGCCGAACUGAGAGGUUGAUCGGCCACAUUGGGACUGAGACACGGCCCAAACUCCUACGGGAGGCAGCAGUAGGGAAUCUUCCACAAUGGACGCAAGUCUGAUGGAGCAACGCCGCGUGAGUGAAGAAGGCUUUCGGGUCGUAAAACUCUGUUGUUGGAGAAGAAUGGUCGGCAGAGUAACUGUUGUCGGCGUGACGGUAUCCAACCAGAAAGCCACGGCUAACUACGUGCCAGCAGCCGCGGUAAUACGUAGGUGGCAAGCGUUAUCCGGAUUUAUUGGGCGUAAAGCGAGCGCAGGCGGUUUUUUAAGUCUGAUGUGAAAGCCCUCGGCUUAACCGAGGAAGUGCAUCGGAAACUGGGAAACUUGAGUGCAGAAGAGGACAGUGGAACUCCAUGUGUAGCGGUGAAAUGCGUAGAUAUAUGGAAGAACACCAGUGGCGAAGGCGGCUGUCUGGUCUGUAACUGACGCUGAGGCUCGAAAGCAUGGGUAGCGAACAGGAUUAGAUACCCUGGUAGUCCAUGCCGUAAACGAUGAAUGCUAGGUGUUGGAGGGUUUCCGCCCUUCAGUGCCGCAGCUAACGCAUUAAGCAUUCCGCCUGGGGAGUACGACCGCAAGGUUGAAACUCAAAGGAAUUGACGGGGGCCCGCACAAGCGGUGGAGCAUGUGGUUUAAUUCGAAGCAACGCGAAGAACCUUACCAGGUCUUGACAUCUUUUGAUCACCUGAGAGAUCAGGUUUCCCCUUCGGGGGCAAAAUGACAGAUGGUGCAUGGUUGUCGUCAGCUCGUGUCGUGAGAUGUUGGGUUAAGUCCCGCAACGAGCGCAACCCUUAUGACUAGUUGCCAGCAUUUAGUUGGGCACUCUAGUAAGACUGCCGGUGACAAACCGGAGGAAGGUGGGGAUGACGUCAAAUCAUCAUGCCCCUUAUGACCUGGGCUACACACGUGCUACAAUGGAUGGUACAACGAGUUGCGAGACCGCGAGGUCAAGCUAAUCUCUUAAAGCCAUUCUCAGUUCGGACUGUAGGCUGCAACUCGCCUACACGAAGUCGGAAUCGCUAGUAAUCGCGGAUCAGCACGCCGCGGUGAAUACGUUCCCGGGCCUUGUACACACCGCCCGUCACACCACGAGAGUUUGUAACACCCGAAGCCGGUGGCGUAACCCUUUUAGGGAGCGAGCCGUCUAAGGUGGGACAAAUGAUUAGGGUGAAGUC
rnacentral:rRNA from 1 species